UACGUAGGGGGCAAGCGUUGUCCGGAAUCAUUGGGCGUAAAGAGCGUGUAGGCGGCCAGAUAAAUCCGCUGUGAAAUCUCGAGGCUCAACUUCGAGCUGUCGGUGGAAACUGUCUGGCUAGAGUCCGGAAGAGGAGAAUGGAAUUCCUGGUGUAGCGGUGAAAUGCGCAGAUAUCAGGAAGAACACCCGUGGCGAAGGCGGUUCUCUGGGACGGUACUGACGCUGAGACGCGAAAGCGUGGGGAGCGAACAGG
rnacentral:rRNA from 1 species